rnacentral:tRNA from 1 species
CGAAAUAGAGCUUUAUAGGGAAGUAUUCCGUUUACAUUGGAAGGAUUCUUGUGCAAUUCAAGAUAUUUUGA